GGGGAAUAUUGGACAAUGGGCGCAAGCCUGAUCCAGCAACGCCGCGUGAAUGAUGAAGGCCUUAGGGUUGUAAAGUUCUUUUGGCAGGGAAGAAAAUGACGGUACCUGCAGAAUAAGCUCCGGCUAACUUCGUGCCAGCAGCCGCGGUAAUACGAAGGGGGCUAGCGUUGUUCGGAAUUACUGGGCGUAAAGGGUUCGUAGGUUGUCAUUCAAGUCAGGGGUGAAAUCCCGGAGCUUAACUCCGGAAUUGCCUUUGAAACUGAAUGGCUAGAGAGUGUUAGAGGUAAGUGGAAUUCCUAGUGUAGGAGUGAAAUCCGUAGAUAUUAGGAGGAACAUCAAUGGCGAAGGCAGCUUACUGGGUCACAUCUGACACUGAGGCACGAAAGCGUGGGUAGCAAAC
rnacentral:rRNA from 1 species